GCCCAAUGCUUUGGUAACGAAUUAUAUUGUUGCCAAAUCAAAUUUAACAUUCUUUUUGUAUACCUGACUUGCUCAAUGUUCCCAUAACAAAUAAUGACAAAAAUACAAAAAACUAAAAUAUUAUUAACUUAAUAAAAUCAUCCACUACAUAAUCAUUCAUUAUCUUUACAAGUAACCAUCUAAAGCUGCCAUAGUUCUUCAAUCAAAGUAUAUAUCUACAUAUAUAGAGAAAGUACACUUCAUAAUUUCGUCCCUUGUCUUCCGUAAACGUAGCAUGAAAAUUUGAUACUUAGUAUUGUAAGGCAGGUCGUAGAAGCAGACUUCUUGGACAUAUUUAAAAAUAAUAGUAAGUCAAAAAAAUGAAGCAAAUAGGUCAUCAGAUGCACUUAGUAUUUAUAGGUUGUAACCUUGCCCUGUGCCUUUUUGUUGUAAUUGCUAAGAUUUGAAAUUUCCCCAUUCUAAGCUAAUAACCUGAAAGUUAAAACAGUCGUUAAUCAUUAGUAAUUAGAUCUUAUUUCUUGUAUGAGAUAACUAGGAAUUAGUACUACUAUCAAAUUAUUGACCAUUUCUCCAGAUUCAAGGGAUGAACCAUGCCAUUUAGGAACUUCUUGAGGUGGUUCUAUGUAAGCAGCAUUGGUGGUCAUACCUAGAGUAAUUGCUGCUAUGCUCUCAUUGUUGUAGGAAACUAAUUCGGAACGAAACGUUAAAAGAAAAGCUACUGCUAUUGAAAAAGCAUCCCAAUGGCCAUAACGGGAAUGCAUUCUAACCUUGAAUGGGGCAUCCAUUCUACAAAAUAUAAUUAUGUGUUAGGUUGUUCUUGCCUUGAAUGUUAUUAAGGAUGAAAAAGUAGAAAGCAACAACUCUGUCUCUCCUUUUACUUUAAUUGGAGAAUAAAAAGCAAAUAAUUAGAGCUAAUUAAUAACAUAAGAACAUGAGGUAUUCAUUGUUUGAACCAUGAAUAGGUCCACACUUACCAUAACAAUGAAAUUUGUAAAGCAUAAGAACAACUUGCAUGUGACAUAGUAUGUAAUAAUAUAAGAAUAGUAGAGAAGGAAAAGAUUCUACUAGAACCACAUAAUUCUGGAACUCUAUACCAUAUUAGAGAAAAAAGAACCACAUAAUUCUGGAGCUCGAUACCAUCUUGUAUGUGAGACCCCCAAUUUUAUGAAUAUAAAGAUUUAAAUUUCUCGAAAUAUUUUUUUUGAAUAUUAUGGUGUGGAUUUGAUAUAAUGUUAUAGUUGUGGGUAAUAUUUAUAAAUUUUGCAAAGUAAGCAAGUUGUUAUAUAAUAGGGAAUAUUCGUACGACAGUACAAUCAUUGGUGGACCCCACAACGGAAGUAUUGUCGUAGUUAGAAAACGACAGAAUUAUCAUUUUAUAAAAAUAACGGCGAAAGUGUUACCGUUAAAACUGUUGAACUACCCGGUAGUAAAAGUACAAUAAUACACGUGGUUACAUAGUAGCACACGGUAUUGAUUAUUAAUGCUUACGUAAGAAGUCACUCAGUUAUACUCAAUUAUUGCUAUAGUAAUUGUUGCAUCAUAUUUCUCAUAUUAUUGAUUCAAUUAUUGUCACAGUAUCAUCUGCAUAAUAUGAUAUAUUAAUAAAUCAAUAAUUGAGACGGUAAAUUUAUUCAUAUUAUUAUUUGUAAUAUUGACAAUGUCUAGAAGUUCUGUCAAGAAAAGGUUUGGUCACCUAAUUGCGCGCCAAUAAGGAGAAAUCCUUAUUGGAAAGCCCCCUCUUUCUUGAAAACGACCUAGUUGUUAAAUAUUGUGAAUUAUAAUAUUAAUGAUGAAUAAGUUCGUGUUGAUUAAGGAUGAAAUUGAUAGUUCCAUUGUAUUGAAAUUAUUAGUGUUAGUGAAAAUCGACAUUUAUUUCGAUAAUAAUUGAUGUCUGGAGGUUAUAUUGACCAACCGGAUAAUUAAUCGAAUAAAUGAGCAAUUAAUUGCUAUUAAUUCACAUGAUUAUAACUAUUUGUUCACAUGUGUGUACUAUUGAUUCAUAUUCUUGUACUAUUAGGGGAGUUGGUGCAAGAUUGAUAAUACUUGCAUGACUAAGUUAAAAAUGGAGGUAUAGAUGGAGGUACUAUACUGUA
rnacentral:lncRNA from 1 species